UACGUAGGGGGCAAGCGUUGUCCGGAAUUAUUGGGCGUAAAGAGCGUGUAGGCGGUCCGGUAAGUCGGCUGUGAAAGUCCAGGGCUCAACCCUGGGAUGCCGGUCGAUACUGCCGGACUAGAGUUCGGAAGAGGCGAGUGGAAUUCUCGGUGUAGCGGUGAAAUGCGCAGAUAUCGGGAGGAACACCUAUGGCGAAGGCAGCUCGCUGGGACGUUACUGACGCUGAGACGCGAAAGCGUGGGGGAGCAAACAGG
rnacentral:rRNA from 1 species